GACGCUGUGCUGAUGGAAACGCUGUUCCUCCAAAGCCCUGCCUCCGUGAAGCUGGAAGCCUGUUCUGGGGUCGCGGGUUUACAGAACGUAUGCAGUGUCUCUGCUCGAGUAGAGUGUGCCGUAGCGCAUUAGCAGUGCGUUGCGAGUGAGGUUUCAAGCUACUGCGGCAGAACGCGACGACCUUUACCGCACCCGCUCGGACAGCGCCGCGAGUCCAGUUCCAGGAGCAGCUCUGUGGGCACAGGAGCGUCUUCGACGACUCUGUUCACCGGGUUGUUGGAUUAGUUUUGCUGGGGAGUUGACCGACAAAGGGCACUAUCCGAGUAAAUUGACAAGGCACGCUCGAAUCAGAGCGUGUUGUUGGCCGACAAGCUGUCUGCUGCACUGCUGAGGGUAACUUUAGAAUGAGGUCCAGCGCGGCGUGGUGACAGUAUCUUAGUCCAUGAAAAGUGGUGUGGUUGCCACAAAAAUGCUCCCGGCAAAAUCAUGCCUCUUGGUACCGGUGGAUUCGCGUUGAAGCCGGUGCGUCGGCACUAAUAUGGCACGUACGAUACACGCGGAACCAGUAUCCGUGAAGGCUUUCUACAUUCGAUAGCGCCUACGUCCAGCAUCCUUGAGCGCCCAACCGUCCACAGCCCCGUGAUGCCAGACUGUCGUUGCCAUCCAGCUUCCAGGGACGUUUGCACGGUCUCGUGAAACUCGUUGGUACAGUACGCGGCCGCGAGCGCUGUUAAGGCGCUAGGUGCCGCUAUUUUAUUGUGCAGCAGCGUUCGCAGUGCGUGUACUGGUCAUAUGCGUACCAGCAACGCGUAACCGACUCUAUGCCAAGCGGUCCGCACUCGAAUGAGGGCGCGUACCUCGUCUCUGGGAAUCGACAAUGUUCAGGGCAGUUGUCGGGUCUUCAUCACUGCGUUUUCCUGUGAUACCAGAUGCUGGAACAGCAGCUUCGCCCCAUCAGGAAGCGCGUGUGAAGGCCGCGAAGCGGGCCACCAUCUAAAGGUUUCGUUUCGCGCCGAUCGUCCCUUUGGCAAGAGAAAACACACACCUGCUUACAACCCACGCUUCUGCUCCUGGUGCUUCCACCAGGGUCGAGCGGGUAUGUAGCUCUAAGACCCGCUAUGUCCUUACCAUUUCUAGAGCCGAGCAGCUUCGCUGAAAAGAUUGCACGAAUCAAAGCGCUUUCUGGGCAACUCACUAGCUGCGGGGUGCCUGAUCGCACUCGCCCAGCACAACGCAGCAUGUUCAAACAACAUCUGUCAUCACUGAGGAACACAACGAGGCCAAAGGUGUUGCUGCAGGACACGGAUCCCUGCAGAGCGAACUUUGCGGCUUAUGCAUGAUCUCGAGCAACCGGAAAACGCGGAAAAUCAUUCCUCUGGCUGAUAGAAUCCAUAAAGCACCCUUGCCGUCGGAGAA